CUAAACCUUGCGAUUUUUGAAUUUCGGGGUUCAUUCGACUUGGCCUGACCCAAGGAUUCAGAGGAAAAAAGAAUUUUCAUUUUGUGGCUUACGGUUAAAAAGUUAUUAGCAUAAAAAUAUUGAAACUUUGGACAAUGGUGGCGCUAGAGAGUAGGAGAUAGAGACUUCAAAUUUGCUAUAUUUAAUGCUGGGACUGUCCUCUAUCAGUGUGCCAAAUUAUACAACUUUCCCGCAAUCGGUUCUAUGGGCUGCCAUAGACUUGCGGCGGAAGAAGAAGAAGAAGAAGAAGAAGAAGAAGAAGAAGAAGAAGAAGAAGAAUAACGCCAACGGAUACAAUAGGUGCCUACGCACCUUCGGUGCUUGGCCCCUAAUAAAUAUAGCUGCAAGCAGCAAUUACGGGGCCAAGCACUACAGGAGCAAGCUUCAGACAAACGGCGGGAAUGAGUAAUUAAAACCGUUUUAAGAUUAUUUUAAGCAAAAUGGCUUGAAAACAAUAAAGACAACAACUUGUAAUAGUAUUUAUUGGCAUAUCAUAUUUGACCAGUAGGUGGCGCUGUUACUAAAUUAGUGUGGAAUGGUCAGUGUGACGUGACUAUUGCACAUACAAAAUAUGGUGUCAGUAUGUCAAAGAUUUGAAGAGAUAUAGCCUUGGAGUCAUUUUGACACAGUGCUUAAAGUUUAUAGCGGCGCUGUACGAAAACGGUUGCUUCUAUCGACACGAAAUCCAUAAUGUUUUGUCAGCACAGUCUGAAGAUGACUUUAUUCGAUUUUGGUGAAAAUCGGACCAAAGGUUGAUGAGGAGAGCAAAAAAGUAGGUUUUCAACAUAAAUCAAAAUAGCCGACAGAAAGUUCGGCUUAUUAUGACAUACUUGAUAUGUAUGUUGUUGGCAUGACCCAAGAAAUAUUUUGAGAUCAGUUUCAUUACAAUAGGUCAAUGCAAUCAAAAGUUAUGAAUUUUUCAAAAAUGCUAAUAAUUAAGAAUUAAUGAAUGUUUAUUACUCCGGACCAAUAGGUGGCGCUGUUACCAAAUUGAUGUGGCGUGAUCAAUUUGUGGUGACAAUGGUUCAUGCAACGUUUGGUGUAAAUAUGUCAAAUCUGUGCAGAGAUACAGCCUCAGAUACAUUUUGGCAUCCUUCCAACAAAUUCGUUGGUGCGCUAAACGAAAACCAUUUCGUAUAUCGACACGAAAUCCAUAACUUUUUGCCAGCAUCGUCUGAAGAUGAUCUGAGUCACAUUUGGUGAAAAUUGGACUAACGGUCUAGGAGGAGUUUGAAAAAUUAGGUUUUCAACAUGAAUCAAAAUGGCGGACAGGAAGUUUGGCCAAUUUUGUCAUAAUUGGUAUCGAUGUUCUCGGCAUGAUCCAAAGAAUUUAGGGAGACCACUUUCAUUCCAAUAGUCCAAUGUAUUCAAACUUUAUUAGCAUUUAUUGUAAAUUUCUUUAUAACUUUUGACCACAAGGUGGCGCUGUGCCCAAAGUUUUUGAGUACC
ensembl:lncRNA